AUGUCUGCACCCUUGUUGUCAAUAUCGAGUAGCGAAGAAGAGGCAAUUAUGGCCAGACCUCCUUCAAAACUCCGUAAAAAGGAUUAUAAACAAUGCUAUAUGCAUCUCACAUCCAUAAAGAAAGAAGAAACAAAGGAUUUUACACGCACACGGUGGGAUACAUUCAGAAAUAGCGUCAAACGGUGGCUUGGUUUGCAGGGUGAGAAUCAGAGAAUAGCAGAAACAUACAAACAUUGUCUAGAAAUCGAGUUUGAAAAUGUUCCAGAAGACGCUGGGUUUCACUCCACUUGCUACAGGCGUUUCAUUGACAAAAAGCACUUGGAUGUGGCAGAGAAACGUGUCACACAGCGUCCUGAAGUUCAAGAUGCUCACAAAGACCAGUCACUGUCAUCGAGUCGUAGUACAUCAAUAUCUGAAUGUCCGACAAAGAAACUUAGGUCCAGGACGGGCCUGCCGGUAGCUUGUGCAGGUCCUGUGCUUCCUGCAUUGUGCAUCAUUUGUAAGAAAACGGACAAGUACAUUACUGUGGCAGGCAAACGCCAGAAGGACCAUCUUUCACAGGCAGAAACAUUGUCAGCAGGCCAGUUGCAGAAAGCUGCUGAGAUGAAAGAAGACACUAGCAUUCUUGUGCAUAUUCAGGACAAAGACUGUGUGUCUCUGGAGGUGCGAUACCACAAGUCCUGUUACAGACAGUACACCAGGUUCUUGACAAAGUCUACUGCAACAGUUACUGAGACCUCAGAAGAACAAAAUGAGCCAACCUUCGAUGCCAGCUACAAGAUCUUCUGUGAGAGGAUCAUCCGCCAUAGAAUAAUUGUAAACCAAGAGGUGCUGACAAUGAUGCAGCUAAGAAGGAUCUUUUUAAAUCUUGUGAAAAAACAUGAAGAUCUUGAUGCUUCAAACUACAGGCAGGAUAAAUUGAAGAGGAGGUUGAGCCAUGAUUUCCCCCAGCUGGUGUUUCACUCACCCAACAAGCGCAACAUCAGUGAGCUGGUUUUUGUUGAGACACUGUCUGCAGACAAGCUGAUAGACAGGCUACCUCAUCCAUCAGGUACAGAAACAACAGAGUCAACUGAGGUAACUAGCCAAAGUGAUGGUGAAAACACGACAAAUACAACAUCUGUUCCACAAAGACAAACCUCAGUGGCCUCUAUCAAUACUACAGAAGACACAAGGACACUUUAUAGUGCAGCAUUGAUAUUAAAGAUGCUUCUAUGUGACUCUCCCGGUAUGACAUGUCCAUGGCCACCCACGUCUGAUGAUUUAAAUGUGAGUGAAGCAAAAUCUGUUGUGCCACUCGAACUGUAUAAUCUGAUUUCCUGGAUUAUAGGUGCAACUGAGGAACCAACACUGGCCCAUUAUGUUGAUAUUUCAGAUUUGAACCUAAAAGUGAUAUCUAUUUGUCAAGACAUUGUGUAUCUGGCAUCUAAGUGCCGAAGGCAGACACCUAAAUCAUUGUGUCUUGGUCUAACCGUUCGCCAUUUAACAGGUUCAUCACAAAUACUGAUGUGGCAGUAA
ensembl:lncRNA